GGAGGAGGAAUUGCAUAGAGGGCAUAAUAUUUGAAAAGUGAUGGCUACCAUUGAUGAGAAUGAUUCCAUCUCAACUCGGAGAGCUUGCAUUCUCAGAGCAUUUUCUCUGUAUCUUAAUGAAG